AUAAUAGAUUACUAGACUUCAAGUUUGUUUUCUUCACCUUAAAAUAAUAAGUAUCAAGAAAAAUAAGCUCACAUACGCUAGGUAAAUUAGCUCUAAUAAGUUCCAAUGAAGAAAGUAUAUAUUAUCGAUCAAUUGCUUGUCUUGAAAAUUGUAUUAAUUGAAGUUGAAGAUGAAAAAAAUAAGCAACUAUUCAGAUGGUUAGUAUUAAGGCCUAAACUUGCAUUACUUUCGUCUGGAAGAAAUUAACAUAAACAAUACUGCUAUAUCGUUAGCCGAUCGACUUAUGAUGUGGGGCCUUGUAGAGUUGUAGGCUACUACUUAACAACUGUCUGUCUCUCACUCUCUUUUCUUAUCUCUUUUAUAGCCAAAGAGAACAAUAGUGUCCCUCUUGAAAUUUACUUAAAAGCCCCUCUUGUAAUACCCCUAUUUUAAAGUGUAUUUUAUUAAGUGCUAAGUAUGAUUACUAGCCUUAUUAUAUAAUAAUAUUUCUCGAGUGUAUUUAAAAGAAAUUGAGUUUGACCAUGCAAUUAGUGAAUAGCUAAUAUUCUUUAUUUAGUUAAUCGUAUUGUAAUAUUUUAGUGGAAUUACUAUUAAUGUAAACUCUUAAUAGUAGUAUAUAACUUAUAUUUUGAAAAGGAAAAUAGAUGUUUUCUUUUAGAUAUAUAUAUGUAUAAGGAGAGAAGUUUAAGAUAAUUUGACCCAUUUCUUUUGCACUUGUCGGUUUGUUUGGAUGAAAUAAAUCCAAACCCAUCUCAUUUCCUUUCUUUUUCUACCGUGUCCUCUGCUUCUCUCACCGCUAUUCUCGCACUUCUUUCUCAUCUGUCUCUCCGGCGCCGUCGCUGCUGUCCAAGGGUGUCGGUUGCCAUUUUUCUCUUUCCUCUGCUUCAUUUAAAAUAUGGUGAGUUGAUGUCAUUGCUGUGUUGUUCUGCUGUUGCUAUUGCUGGUUGUUGUUAAUGGCGGUUCAUCGCCGGAAAUGGCAGCCACAUGCUGCUCCUUUUGUGUACAUGAAGGUAAUGUAUAAAGAAGGUUCGAUGUUGGAAGUUUGUUGUAUGCUUUAUACUAUUUGUAUCGCGACGAGGGCGAUCAACUUUGUAAUAUUAUAAUUAAUAGUUAAUUUGUAAUUAAAUUAAAAAGGUUUGAGUUUGUAAAGUCUAGACUUAUUUGGGUUGCUGGAUUUUGAGGAUACAGGAUUAUGAAUUGGACGCGAGUCCUAAAUUAAGUUUUAGGCAGUCCAUAUUACAAAUGGAACUUUGCCGAAUUUUCUGUAGGAUUUUAAUAAUAUAUCUAGUUGUUUAAAUAUUUGAGAAUCA